GCGGCAUGCCUAAUACAUGCAAGUCGAGCGGACAGAUGGGAGCUUGCUCCCUGAUGUUAGCGGCGGACGGGUGAGUAACACGUGGGUAACCUGCCUGUAAGACUGGGAUAACUCCGGGAAACCGGGGCUAAUACCGGAUGCUUGUUUGAACCGCAUGGUUCAAACAUAAAAGGUGGCUUCGGCUACCACUUACAGAUGGACCCGCGGCGCAUUAGCUAGUUGGUGAGGUAAUGGCUCACCAAGGCAACGAUGCGUAGCCGACCUGAGAGGGUGAUCGGCCACACUGGGACUGAGACACGGCCCAGACUCCUACGGGAGGCAGCAGUAGGGAAUCUUCCGCAAUGGACGAAAGUCUGACGGAGCAACGCCGCGUGAGUGAUGAAGGUUUUCGGAUCGUAAAGCUCUGUUGUUAGGGAAGAACAAGUACCGUUCGAAUAGGGCGGUACCUUGACGGUACCUAACCAGAAAGCCACGGCUAACUACGUGCCAGCAGCCGCGGUAAUACGUAGGUGGCAAGCGUUGUCCGGAAUUAUUGGGCGUAAAGGGCUCGCAGGCGGUUUCUUAAGUCUGAUGUGAAAGCCCCCGGCUCAACCGGGGAGGGUCAUUGGAAACUGGGGAACUUGAGUGCAGAAGAGGAGAGUGGAAUUCCACGUGUAGCGGUGAAAUGCGUAGAGAUGUGGAGGAACACCAGUGGCGAAAGCGACUCUCUGGUCUGUAACUGACGCUGAGGAGCGAAAGCGUGGGGAGCGAACAGGAUUAGAUACCCUGGUAGUCCACGCCGUAAACGAUGAGUGCUAAGUGUUAGGGGGUUUCCGCCCCCUUAGUGCUGCAGCUAACGCAUUAAGCACUCCGCCUGGGGGAGUACGGUCGCAAGACUGAAACUCAAUGGAAUUGACGGGGGCCCGCACAAGCGGUGGAGCAUGUG
rnacentral:rRNA from 1 species